AUUAAAGGUGUGUGCCACUACACUCAGCUCAUUCUUUAUUAAUUUUGAGAUAGUGUCUCACUACUUAGUGCUGACUGACCUGGAACUUCUUUUGUAGACCACCAGGCUGUCCUCACAUGCUGGUUUUGAAUUCAGAAAGGUCUGUCUGCCUCAGCCUUCUGAUUUGAUUUAUCUACCUAUCUUCCUUCCUUCCUUUCUUUCUUUCUUUCUUUCUUUCUUUCUUUCUUUCUUUCUUUCUUCCUUUCCUCUCUUUCUUUCUUUCUUUCUUUCUUUCUUUCUUUCUUUCUUUCUUUCUUUCUUUCUUUCUUUCUCGAGACAGGGUUUCUCUGUAUAGCCCUGGCUAUCCUGGAACUCACUUUGUAGACAAGGCUGGCCUCAAACUCACAGAAAUCUGCCUGCCUCUGCUGGGAUUAAAGGCAUAUCCACCACGCCUGGCUUUUUUGAUUUGAUUUAUUUUUAUCUUAUGUAUAUGAGUAUUUUGCUUGCAUGUAUGUUUGUAUACUACAUUUGUGCAAUGUCCAUGAUGACCAAAAGAGGGUGUUGGAUUCUUCUGAACUGGAGUUUCAGGUGGUGUUGGUAACUGAUUCCAGGUCUUCUGCAAUGUUUUAAAUGUUUUAAACAGCUGACCCAUCUCUCCAGCCAUGCCCCUCUCCCGAUUUUUUUUUUUUAGGUAUAUGGAUGUUUUGCUUGCAUGUGUUGCCAGGUCUGUAGACAUUUGCCUGCAUGCUUGUUUAUUAAAUAGAACAAUGGGAGAUUCUGGCAAUUUUGUUAUUUUUAGGUAUGCGGAUGAGGAUAUGUGUACCACAUAUGUAUGUCUAGUACCCGUGGAGGCCAGAAUAGUUGUCAGAUCCCCCUUGGAACUGGGUUACAGGUGGUUGUGAGCUGCUACAUAAGUUUGGAAUGGAACCUGGGUCUUUUAGAAGAGCAGCCUUUGCUCUUAGCCCCUGAGCCAUCUCUUCAGGCCACCCCUUCCUUCCCUGAUUCUUUUUUUUGUUGUUGUUUUGUUUUUUGAGACAGGGUUUCUCUAUGUAGCCCUGGCUGUCCUGGAAUUCACUCUGUAGACCAGGCUGGCCUCGAACUCAGAAAUCCGCCUGCCUCUGCCUUCCGAGUGCUGGGAUUGAAGGCAUGGCCACCUCUGCCUGGCCCCUGUUUAUGACUCUGUAUGUAACAGGGAGUAUUGGAGAGAGCUGAAUCAGACCUAAGGAGAAUAACUUUGUUUUGUAACCUCAGUUUAGCUGCAUUUUAUAACUAAGCGCAUAGUGUUAUUCUUGAGGUGUUUUCUUUGGUGAGGUAUUUCAGAUUUCAAAAGCAAUCUUUUUACUGAUAUUCCUGCUACAUUUCUUCAAAUCUUAGACACAAUGGAGGUUCCAAAGAAAUCUCAAUAUGUAUACCUAGGAAACUGUUUGUCAUUAGAGUUUUAUUUUGUGCUUUGGUGCUUUUUGAAAGUUAUUUGGAAAGCAUUUUAACUGUGUAUCAUUCUCACUCAUUUAUAAGAAGCGAAAACCUUAAUGAAAUUAGCGGGAUAGGAUCUGAGCAGCUUUCUGCUUACAGGGUCUAGCCUUGCUGAGUUAGUGUCUGUGCAGGGCCUGUCGCAAAGGGUCCUCAACUGCCAGUGUCCAGAGAUGUGGACACCCAGCACCCAGGCUGCUCUUUCCAUGGUAACUAGAGAGCUCCAGCUUUCCCCUAUCACUCAUUAAUUGGCUUUUUUGGUGGGGUAGCAAGGUAUGCCAUUGGGAGUGACAAGUUCACACAAGCCUAGGCAGAUUGUCAAUUUGGAUGAGCACUGGGCCUAUUAUAAGAUCUUGUUGUUUACAAGUGUAUCCAUGUUCAAGAUGGCAUUAUAUAGCCAUCUUUAAUUUAUGUUUUAUUUUUAUUUUUCACUGAACAGUGUGUUAUGGAUGUGGUUCUCUGAUAUCACAUGCAGAUUUACAUCUGUGGAAUUAGGUGUUCUUUUUCUCUUUUCUUCUGUUAGGGAUUUCAUUCCAUUCCAUUUUUCAUUCCCCGUUAAGUUUCUUGUAUACUUACAUUGCUGUGAAACAUGUCUUCAGAACAUUUUCAUUGUUCAGGUCUGAGAUCUGUUCUCCCUCAAACAACUUCCCUGCAGCCCUGGUUACUCUGUUUUCUCUUCCCACUAAAGUGUUGAGUUCCACUACUUUAGAUGUCUAUUGUAAGUGGGACUAUACUAUGUGUGUGUGUGGUUGAAAUCCCAAUUUAAAACAGCCUCUUUCUACCCUUAUAAACUUGCUUGGAAAGCAGGUCUUAGCCCUGUAAAUGUUGUUUGGGCAGGAUGGCCUGUCCUAAGUAGCCUUUUUUUUUUUUAAACC
rnacentral:lncRNA from 1 species